rnacentral:rRNA from 1 species
UACGGGGGGAGCAAGCGUUGUUCGGAUUUACUGGGCGUAAAGGGCGCGUAGGCGGCGCGGUAAGUCGGGUGUGAAAUCUCGGGGCUUAACUCCGAAACUGCAUUCGAUACUGCGGUGCUUGAGGACUGGAGAGGAGACUGGAAUUCAUGGUGUAGCAGUGAAAUGCGUAGAGAUCAUGAGGAAGACCAGUGGCGAAGGCGGGUCUCUGGACAGUUCCUGACACUGAGACACGAAGGCCAGGGGAGCAAACGGG